GUUGUACAGCUGAUUUCAUCACCCAUGCAAAAAGCCCAGUACCCAAUAAUUAUUAUUUGUGCUUCUCUUCUUCCUCCCACCCUCCACCCUCAAGUAGACCCCAGUGUCUUUCAUUCCCCAAAAGCUAACAUUUUAAACCAGCCCAAAAUAUAAUAAUUUUAAUCUGAAGUGGCAUGUGAUUUCUGUUAAUGAUAAAAAAGAUAACAUUUGAAAAGGAGUCCUUUUGAUAACCCAUGUAUUAAGGACUAAAUGUUUGUACCUUCUCCCACCCCCAGAAUCAUAUGUGAAACCCUAACAACCAAUGUGAAUGUAUUUGGAGAUAGGGUCAUAAGCAGAUGGUAGAGUUUAAAUGAGGUCAUAAGGGUGGAGCCCUAAUCUGAUAGAGCUGUUGCACUUUUCAGAAGAGGAAGAGAUACUGGAACGUGUCUCUGUCUGUGUGCAUUCAGAAAGAAGGCCAUGUGAUACAGUUUGGAUGUUGCCUCCAACCAAAUGUCAUGUCAAAAUGUAAUCUUCAGUAUUGGAGGGGAGGCAUGGUGGGGGGAGAUUGGGUCCCCCCACCCAGUGGAGGCAAGUUUCUCAUGAAUGGUUUAGCACCAUCCCCCUUGGUACUGUCUUCACAAUAGUGAGCUCUCAUGAUAUUUGGUCAUUUAAAAGUGUGUAGCACUUCCCCCUUCACGUUCUCUUGCUCCUGCUCUGGCCAUGUGACAUGCCUAUUCCCUCUUCACCUUCUGGCAUGACUGUUAAGUUUCCUGUGGCCUCCCUGGAAGCUGAGCAGAUUCCAUCAUCAUGCUUCCUGUACAGUCUGCAGAACCAUGAGCCAAUUAAGCCUCUUUUCUUUAUAAAUUACCCAGUCUGAGGUACUUCUUUAUAGCACUGCAAGAAUGGACUAAUACGCUAUGUGAAGACAAAGGGGAUGUCUGCAAGCCAGGACGAGUGCGUCUACCAGAAACUGAGUUCUGCUGGACUUUGAUCUAGGACAUCCAGCCUCCAGAAUGGAAUGUGCCAUAUGUGGAGACCUGCAUGGAAAGGAACUGAGGAUGCUCUCUCACUAAAAGCUAGAAGGAACUGAGGCCCUCAGUCAACAGUCUACAAGACACUGAAUCUUGCCAGCAGCCAAGCAGUGAGCUUGAAAGCAGAUCUAUCAUCAGCUGAACCUUCAGAUGAGACCGCAGCCUAAGCAGAUACCUUGGUUGCAGCCAUGUGAGACAACCUGAAACAGAGGGCACAGCUAAGCCUCAGCCAGGUUCAUGACCCUCUGAGGAAACUGUGAGAAAGCAAAUGUCAUUUUAAGCUAUUUAAUUUUGGAGGUAGUUUAUUACACAACAAUAAAUAACUAUUAUAAUUAUCUUGAGGAUUUAUUUCCUGGGGAGAAUACAUGGAAUUGCAUAUAUAGGUCCUCAUAUGCAGAAUACUGGUACCCUAGAGAUGUUCACCCCAGAGAUGUUUUAGGAACCUGUGAAUAUGUUACAUUAAAUGGCAAAGUUUUCCUGGAUGGUUUAAGUUUAAGAUGGAAAAGUUUUACUGGAUUAUCCAGUGGGUCCAAUCUAGUAACAUGAGUCCUUAAAAAUGGAGAAUAUUUUUUGGCCAUGAUCAGAGAGACAUGUGAUGAUGGAAAAAGUGUCAGAGAUGCAAUGUGAGGGGACUAAAACUGCUGUUGCUGACUUUAAAGAUGGAGAGAGGGGAACCCGAGUCAAGGAAUGCAAAUGGCCUCUGGAAGCUGGAAAAAGCAAGAAAUGGAUUCUCCUUUAGAGCCUGUGGAAUAAAAUGCAGUCAUGCUGACACCUUGAUUUUACCUCAGUGAGACCAAUACUGGAGUAUGACCUUCGGAGCUGAAUAAAAUUAUACGUACACAUCUUAAUUUCUUGGGAUUUGAUUACUUCUUCUGCUUUGAAAUUAGACCAAGUUUAGCCUGCCUUUGCUAUUUUGGCGUAUCUCCAAUUCUUCAUGAUUUUCUCAUAGUGUUGCCUCCAUAUGAUGCAAAAUAUCCAACCUAGCCCUGACAUGAAAACUUAAUUGAAAGUAUCCAACAGUGGCGCAAAGGCCACAUAAGGACAGUGAGAAGGCAGCCACCUGCAAGCCAGGAAGAAAGGUCUCACCAGAUACCAACCCUGCCAGCAUGUUGAUCUUGGACUUCCAGCCUCCAAAACUGGCCUUCUGCUCACAUGGGCUUCCGUGCACCUGCUUCAGGAGACAGCAACACUUGCGCCCGCACCGCGGCAGGCUCCCAUCACCUGGUGGAUAUGCCGCGCCGAGUCUCAUCACACCUUAGUGAAGGAACACAUGGACCCAUAUGUUAGCGGAUGUAUUUACAUCGUUUUAUACAGAAAGGGGAAGAAAACUGCAUACCUCAGAAAGGGGUUGCUCCUCACUCUGAGUACUAGACUAAAGAUAAAAAGACUAGAUAAAAGUACUAGACUAAAGACAGAGCUGACCCAUGACAGAUGGAGUCUUGCUCUGUCACACAUGCUAGAGUCCAGUGGUAUGACCUCAGCUCACUGCAAUCUCUGCCUCCCGGGUUCAAAUGAUUCUUCUGCCUUGACCUCCCUGGCAGCUGGGACUACAGGCCUGCACCACCACGCCUGGCAAAUUUUUUAAUUUUUUUUAGUAGAGAUGGGGUUUCACCAUGUUGGCCAGGCUAGUCUCGAACUCCUGACCUCAAAUGAUCUGCCCGCUUUGGCCUUCCAAAGUUCUGGGAUUAUAGGAGUGAGCCACCAUGCCCAGCCUGUUCUUAAGUCUCCUAGAACAGGGAUUCUGAAACACAAAACUCAUCUGGUGAGAAGAAUGAGAGCAAGAGAGGUUAAAUGGGUCGUUCAAGUUCAUAAAGUACUGACAGAAGAUGACCCUGAACUGUUCUCACUAUAUUAAAAGUCAGACAAGUAUUAUUAUUAUUAUUACUAAUAUAAGUAGCUCCAAUUUAUGUGAUUCUCAUGAUUUGGAGGACCUUACCUAUAUUAGCUUAUUUAAUCUACACAGCAAACCUAGAUGGUAAAUAUUUUCAUUGCCAUUUUACAGAGGAGGAACUGAGGUUCCUGAGGGUUAGGAAACUUGUAACAUGAACUCCAUACAGAUAUACAGAAUGAUAUAAACAAAUAAACAAAUACAUAAAUGUGGAAGAAGUAAAAGCUCUUCCUUGGAGUAAAAGGCCACCUAAUAAAUGAGGCAGGAAUGAUAAAAUUAGAGAAAUCAUUUGCAAACAUCACAGUAUUAAUUGCUUAAAGGAAGAAUUAUAAAUAGAUAAUAAAGCUAGUGGGUGAAACAUUAAUGGGACUAAGAUAUUUAUCUAGCCCCAAAAGUUUUGCUCCAUAAAAAUACUUACUUAGGCUGGGCAUGGUGGUGCACACCUGUAAUUCUAGCACUUUGGGAGGCCGAGGUGGAAGGAUUACUUGAGCUUAAGAGUUCAAUGGCAGCCUGGACAACAUAGUGAGACCGCAUCUCUAAAAAAAAAAUUAGCCAGGUGUGGUAGUGCGUGUAUGUAUUCUCAGCUACUCAGGAGGCUGAGGUAGAAGGGAUCGCUUGAGCCCCAAGUUGAGGCCACAGUGAGCUGAGAUUGCACCACUGCACUCCAGCCUGGGUUACAGAGAGUGAUCCUGUCUCAACAAUAAAAUAAAAUAAAAUGAAAAAAAUAUUUAUUACAAAUGAAAAAAAUGACAUGUUUACACUGGAGAGGCCUACAGGCAUCAUCUUAACCAAUGAUCAAAGUUAAUAUCUACACGAAUAGGACAAAUAAUAUCAUUUCCCUCCUGACCUCAUGCAUGUUUAAAACACAACAUAACUUCUUGGUUAUUUCUGUCAAGAGUGCAUAACCUGAAACUAAUCAUAAGAAACCACCAGAUGACCCCACGAUGAGAGGUAUACUAAAAAAUAACUAAGCUAUUAUUUUAUUUUAUUUAUUUUUUGAGACAGAGUCUUGCUCUGUUGCCCAGGCUGGAGUGCAGUGGCGCAAUCUCAGCUCACUGCAACCUCAGCCUCCUGGGUUCAAGAGAUUCUCCUGCCUCAGCCUCCCAAGUAGCUGGGAUUACAGGCUUCUUUUUGUAUUUUUAGUAGAGAGGGGGUUUCACCAUGUUGGCCAGGCUGGUCUCAAACUCCUGACCUCAGGUGGUCCACCCACCUCGGCCUCCCAGUUUUGGGAUUAUAUGCGUGAGCCACUGCACUCAGCCACCAGACUUUUUUUUUUUUCUUUUUACUUUUUUUGAGACAGCAUCUCCCUCUGUCGCCCAGGCUGGAGUGCAAUGGCACAAUCUUGGCUCACUGCGACCUCCGCCUCCCAGGUUCAAGUGAUUCUCCUGUCUCAGCCUCCUGAGUAGCUGGAACUACAGGCGCCCGCCACCACGCCCGGCCAGUUUUUGUGUUUUUAGUGGAUAUGGGGGUUUCACCAUGUCGGUCAGGCUGGUCUCGAACUCCUCACCUCAGGUGAUCUGCCCGACUCAGCCUCCCAAAGUGCUGGGAUUAUAGAUGUGAGCCAUCGUGCCUGGCCUAUUUUGAAAGCAACAUAUAAUCCAACUUUUUCUUUUGUUAUAAAGAGCAAUAUAGGAACAAGGAGUGAAACACCAAGGCAAUUUGACAGUUAAAUGGUAGAAGUAGAUCAGUGUUAAUUUCCUGAUUUUGUAAUUAUACUGUGGUUAUGUAACAGAAUGUUCUUGUUUUAGAAAGUACACAUUGAAUAAUCAAUGGUCAUCUUGUCUGUAACUUAAUUUCAAAUGUUUCAAUAAAAAUAUGUGUAUGUUUGUGAGUGAUAAAACAAAU
rnacentral:lncRNA from 10 species